CCACUUUCUCUUAUUGGUGUGAAGUAGUGGGUAAGGUGGCAUUUUCGCGUUGGCCGCCUUGCCAUUAGCGGAAGCAAAAGAUGCUCUCAAGACCAUAAUAUGCUAUUAGUCCCUAAUUUAUCCAGGCUGGUUGUUGGGUGGAUGCUAGGAAAAUACUUUGAUAAUGUUAAAAGCAGCAAUAGUUAGCUAGGCAUUCCACUUUGGUUGCCUUUUUUUAGGGUUUGUUUAUUCUUUCGAUCCUCCCAGAAGGGUCUGCUAGUACUGGGGAGAGCCUGUUGCAAAGACUCCCUACUUUUUGUGCAUGUGUGUUUUUUGCUUUAAAAUAGGGUCCUCUUUGGUCGAUCCCCGUUGGUUGAACACCAAUUGGUGGUCUCUGUCUGAGAUUUAAUUCUUUUUAAACACUCCUUAUAGGCCAUUAUAAUGGCUCUUUUUCACCAAUAAGGAGAUAUUAGGUUGCAAAAGUUGAUUUGUUUAGCAUCUGCCUUUCAUGCUUUGUGCAAAGUAGAGUCCUCAUGAUCUUUAAUAAUUUCAAAGUUUAAUGAGACUUUGCAGGAGGACAGGCGCCAUGCUUCUUCCUUCAGCGUUGUGGGAUUUCAAUUUGGUUUACUUUAUGGUCAUUUGCUUUGCCUCCUUUAUAGUUUAUAGUUUGAUGUGCAGCAUUGGUGAUAGGCUCCAAUGAUAUCGGGUGCUUUAGGAUUGAGAGCAACCUCCAAAUUGAUUGAUAGAUCAAGUAUUGGAUGCUUGCGUCGGCUACAUCCUCUCGAAAACUGGUUUGCUACCGAGGCGCCAGCAUCUUUUAGAAUUUUUAUGGAGUUUUAUGUCAAGAAAUGCACGGAAACGAGUCGGUGGUGGCACGUGCACUGAGACGUAGAGAAACAUAAGGCCUCUGUGUUCCGCAAAUAUGUUGGCCGAUUUGGAGUCCAGGUGUAAAACUUCAGAUAUGGUCUCAGAAUCCGCCGGAAAAACAAGGGUACUUUGGAGGUUUCCUAACUAUUCUAAUCUGAACUGGCAGAUUUAACGUAUUACGAAAAGCAGAUCAUGGGCUGAGGCUCACCAAACAACGUUAAAGAAACCCAGAUUUAUAAAAUUAUUGUGUUUUUUGUAUAAUUAAAAAUGUAUUUUGUGUAGGCGAAAAAUGUAGCGGCGAACCUCCCGAGUCCCAGCGGGCAAGCACACAACCACAAACACAGCCGUCGAAUCAAGGGUUGAAAUUUGAAGCGACUGAUUUAAUUUAAUUUAGUUGGGUUUAAGUUUAAACAAAUCAGAACAAAUUGUUACCCACGAAUUUGUUUGAGAUUGUGGAUGAUAGUUGUAUAAUUAGACAUGUUGGAGUUGAUGCGUUCCAGCUGCUUUUGCCUACUCUAUGGACUUUGGCUUUCAUUUUCA